rnacentral:rRNA from 1 species
CCUACGGGGGGCACCAGUGGGGAAUAUUGCACAAUGGGCGCAAGCCUGAUGCAGCCAUGCCGCGUGCGUGAAAAAGGCCUUCGGGUUGUAAAGCACUUUCAGCGGGGAGGAAGGCGGAGAGGUUAAUAACCUCAUCGAUUGACGUUACCCGCAGAAGAAGCACCGGCUAACUCCGUGCCAGCAGCCGCGGUAAUACGAAGGGUGCAAGCGUUAAUCGGAAUUACUGGGCGUAAAGCGCACGCAGGCGGUCUGUCAAGUCGGAUGUGAAAUCCCCAGGCUCAACCUGGGAACUGCAUUCGAAACUGGCAGGCUAGAGUCUUGUAGAGGGGGGUAGAAUUCCAGGUGUAGCGGUGAAAUGCGUAGAGAUCUGGAGGAAUACCGGUGGCGAAGGCGGCCCCCUGGACAAAGACUGACGCUCAGGUGCGAAAGCGUGGGGAGCAAACAGGAUUAGAUACCCGUGUAGUC